rnacentral:rRNA from 1 species
GAUGAACGCUGGCGGCGUGCCUAAUACAUGCAAGUCGAGCGAACGGACGAGAAGCUUGCUUCUCUGAUGUUAGCGGCGGACGGGUGAGUAACACGUGGAUAACCUACCUAUAAGACUGGGAUAACUUCGGGAAACCGGAGCUAAUACCGGAUAAUAUUUUGCACCGCAUGGUUCAAAAGUGAAAGACGGUCUUGCUGUCACUUAUAGAUGGAUCCGCGCUGCAUUAGCUAGUUGGUAAGGUAACGGCGUACCAAGGCAACGAUGCAUAGCCGACCUGAGAGGGUGAUCGGCCACACUGGAACUGAGACACGGUCCAGACUCCUACGGGAGGCAGCAGUAGGGAAUCUUCCGCAAUGGGCGAAAGCCUGACGGAGCAACGCCGCGUGAGUGAUGAAGGUCUUCGGAUCGUAAAACUCUGUUAUUAGGGAAGAACAUAUGUGUAAGUAACUGUGCACAUCUUGACGGUACCUAAUCAGAAAGCCACGGCUAACUACGUG